rnacentral:lncRNA from 1 species
GUGGAUCACCUCUAGAGGCCAAACACUUGGGUAGCUAACGUUGAUCAAACGAAGGAACCAAACCCGGUGGAUUCAAGUUGAACGCAAGAAUUUGGAGGUAAACUUGUACCUGAGGAAGCUCGAAUCUUCAAGGGUAUGAUUCUUGUUCUUUAUCUUUUCGUUUAAUUAAUAAUUGUGCAUAAAGGAUGAUCCGGGUAUAUGGUUUGUAAAAUUUUAAAACUCUAUCUUAUCACGUUUUUGCUUACUUUGUGCAAUUUGGCUGCGUUCAUGAAUAUUACAAACCUAACAAAGAG